GAGGGGAGUGGAACCUCAACCCAGCGCGUUAUCGUGAUAGAGUCUGCAGAGGCUGCAGGUCCUGGAGGAUUGUCUCUGGUGAAGCAAGAGAGGACUGAAGGACAGGACCCACGACACAGCAGAAACAUCCAUACUGGUGCAGUGUCAGGAGUAACGCACCCUGUAGCCACAGAUGACCUAUCCACCGACGCCGAGACCCAGCCCAGGACCUGCUGCAGCAUCACGGAGUCCAUGAGGACCUGCUGAUAUCCGGUGUUGCUGGUGGGAGAGACUGGACCUCUGAAGCGGCUGGUCACAAACCCUUGCCCUUGGUCAGAAUCAGUCACUCUUCCUUCCCGAGUCAGAACCAGGACCAAACCACGAGGGACAGUGCAGGGAUGGAGCAGGGCCUGGGGCUAAUAGAGAUAUACCCUCCUCUUCCCAUGAUACAAACACCACAGUAUCCACAGUAUCCAUGAUCAGGAUGGGCGUUCACCACAAGAGGUGCCUAGCCUAUAACACAGCACACAAUCCCAACAACACCCAAACAAUGGCUAGAGGUCAAGGAGGGAGCUCAAAGACUAACCACCUGAGAGUGGUGGCUCCUGCUUCUACCUCCUCUGGUGUCAUUGGGUCACAACGUGGGAGGCCGAGCGUGAGGACGGACGCCGACAAACAGUAAGUAUGCCUGCCCCACGUGUGGAAAGUGCUUCGCUGAGAUGAACUACACUACAUGACCAAAAGUAUGUGGACUCCUGCCUGUCGAACAUCUCAUUACAAAA